rnacentral:rRNA from 1 species
ACAUGCCUACAACUUAGCGUUAAUGCACUGGAUGCUAUUAGACCUCCGCAGUUAAGCGCGCUUGAGAUAGAGUAGUACUGGGAUGGGUGACCGCCUGGGAAGUCUUAGUAUUUUACAUGCC